CGGUGCCACCUCAUCAUUCAUUUCCUGUAUUGUUUUAUCCUUAUAUGUGAUUUUUUUAAGCCGUGAUGGUUUGUGAUGAAACUUACAGUGUUAUCAUAGCAUAAUUUUAAGGGUUUAUAAGGACAGUGGAUGUACGUAUAGUUUAGUAACAUCACUACCUCAUCGUAACUAUAUUACUUGCCUCCGCCCCUCCCUCUCUCCUUCCCUCCUCUCGUCCCUCCUUCCUUCAACCGUCUCUUCCCUACGCCUUCCCACCGCCGCAUAUCCAGACACCUCUGUACACCACAACAAAUUUGAAAAGAGGAUAUGCAGGGAAGAGUUUCAAGUCAUAGUGAAAUAUUGGUAACACUUCAGAAGACGUGGAAGAAAUCGUAUUCAAUCUUAUGUAGGCUGCUCAUAUAUUCAUAAUCCUAUAUACAGGUUUGGGAGUGUCUUGUAUUACGCAUGUCAUCUUUCCUUUUCGUUAUCGUUGUUGUUAUGGUUCUUCUCCUCCUCCUACUCUUCCUCUUCCUCUUCCUCCUCCUCCUCCUCUUCCUCCUCCUCCUGCAGCACUGAAUCUGAGAUGCUUGGGGUUACUCCAUCUUCGUAACGCUUCCCCUUAAGGCAAAUCUUUUCGAUAUUGGAUUACUUCCCGCCACGGACGAGUGACAACCCCGCACGUCCUGACAACCCUAGGAAUCCAAUAAGUGUCGCCAGAAUUUACGACGCUUCGUGAAUAGAAUGAAGUAGAUGGCGACCUGGCAGCGCUACCCCCGCUAAAUCCAGUAAUAGUGGAAGUAAUAGCAGGAGUAUUAGUACGUACGGAGCAGUUUAAGCAGUAGUAGCAGCAGUAGUAGUAGUAGUAGUAGUAGUAGUAGUAGUAGUAGUAGUGGAUAGUAGCAGCCUCAAUGAUAACAAAAAGCAACACUAUAGGCAAAGUUACAUUGUGUGCGUUUGUAUCAUCUGUCUAUUCAGCUGUAAAUGUACCCCAUGUGUGAGUGUGUGUGUGUGUAUGUAUGUGUGUGUGUGUGUGUUGUGCUACACCAGUGAGCUCAGCCACAGUGGUAUAUCACGGUGUGUGCCGGUGUGUGCGUGGCGUGUGCUACCUCUGACAGCGUCCAUCAUGAAAAAAUGCUUUGAACUCCGGAACAACUUGUCGACAGGGAAUAAUGUCCAGCCCCGAAACGAUGCCGCUCAGAUGGAGUGUAACACAUCGCCCCAAAUCGUAGCAGUCGCCUGGUAUUAUGUUACCGUCAGAAUGUAGCAUCGAUUACGUCAUUAAAACCCCUACAGGUUAGAUAUUCCUGCAGCAAGGUUACGUCAAUAUCGAUCGGUUAUUGAAAUAUUUUCACGACAUGAGCGAAAUCAUACUGUAUAUCACUAGAAUCUAUGGAGAUUUAACAGAAGCUUUAAAAUCAUAGAAAAGUUAAUAUUGAUGAAUGUCCUUAGAAAAAAAAAAAAAAUAUCACCAAAUGAUAAUGAGAGACAUUCGUUUCAAAACUUAAGUGACAAUGUAUUUUGCAUGUCUUUCUGAAGAAUUACUGUACUGUUGCUGGAGAGGAAUGAGUCACAAGCAAAUGCUGUUGUAGAGAAUAUAGUGAGUCCGCUUCAUAGGAGGUGAGGCAAAUAUUUCAACCAAAAAUGUUUUUAAAAUAGCAUAGCGUGUAAUAUUAUUUACUUAUUUACUUGUUAUUACAUUCAUUCCUUUAUCCCAGUGACGAGCUGUAAAAAUGUGGUUGUAUUUCCAUUCCAUUCUUUCUAACUGAAAUGUACACCUUUGCCUUUUCAACUCUCUCUCUCUCUCUCUCUCUCUCUCUCUCUCUCUCUCUCUCUCUCUCUCUCUCUCUCUCUCUCUCUCUCUCUCUCUCUCUCUCUCUCUCUCUCUUUGAGGGAACAUUGGGCAACUAUAUGUAUAUAUACAGUAGAUAUGAAUAGAAACAUUCAUAACAAGUGUUACUGGUGCUUAUCUAAUCUAAUAUAAUAAUACACUACUGAUAUGUAUUAUCCGACUUGUAUACGCCAUGUAAGUACACCUUGACACAGCUCUUAUGUGGAAGAAUAGAUUGUGUUAUGUACUGUUUGUGCAGCCUUCCCUGCGCUGCCGCCUGUCACGUGCACUCCAGCGUCCACUUCCUUCUGUACACCAAUCAUUCUUCAAGGAAAGGUCACCGCAGUCUCUUGGCCAUUGAAGGGACGCCUACAGGGAGCAGCGCACACAACAACAGCCCUGGGCAGGCCUUUCCCUUCCAGCAUAGUCCACACACACACACACACACACACACACACACACACACACACACACACACACACACACACACACACACACACACACACACACACACACACACACACACACACACACACACACACACACACACACUGUUCAUUCUUCAUUCUUUAUAUGUACACACAACAGUACCAGAUUCCCUUCUCCUACACCAGCACAUCCUUAAUAGAAGUUUUGCAAUUGUAUCCGCAUGUAGUCCCUCCUCGCCCCUCGCCUCUCAGAGCCUCGCCCUUCCCUCAGGUACACCCACGAGGCUCGCGGAUGUUAUUGUCACAGCCUUGUGUAACGCUGGAUGCCUGUGUGUUCCUUUGCCCAGCGCUGCCUCGCUUGUUUGGGGAGCUUCAAGUUAAGCUAGUAGAGAGAUAGAGGGGAAGGGAGAGAGAGGGGGAGAGAGUACCAGAAACUCCGCCUAACAGACAGACGGACAGGCAGAAAGUGAGUGUAAUAUAAGGUGUACUGGUAAUGCACUUCCGGCCGACAGGACACGUGACAGCCAUUGGAUUCUUAUUUUGAAGUUUUUUUUUUUUUCGCGGGCGGGUGUGGGUUGGAUGUGUUGUACUGGAAAUGUAACGAGGAGGAAAGUGGACAGCAGGUAGACACACACACACACACUCUCUCUCUCUCUCUCUCUCUCUCUCUCUCUCUCUCUCUCUCUCUCUCUCUCUCUCUCUCUCUCUCUCUCCCUCCCUCUCUCUCUCAGUCGCGAGGGACUACCGCCCGUCACCACUUUUGAACUUUAAUACCUAAACUUUUUAAUUCUGAGACGCUCCUCCGGCGGUGCGUCGUGACGAAAAGUUGCUGGCAUUAUUUUUGCAGAGUUUAGCCGCCGCCUUUACAUUUCGUUACGUCCUCCUCUCGGUCAUUGAGUGGCAUCCCUUUAGACACCUGUGGCGGAGAUGACGCGGGCAACACGACAUGGUUAUAGAAGUUUUCCUUCACGCAUUGCUUCCAACUCCCGAAUUUAGUUGUAGUGAGGCUGAGGUGGCGCUGGUGGCGGCUGAGUACUCGCCUUUCUAACCUAAGUGAUACCAGAGUUCGUCCUCUUUAAGUUUGAAAUAGUCAAACUUAUAUCAAUGUUUAAUAUCGAGUUUCUUACAAAUAUAAACAUUUUUCAAGGUUCGUCCAUCUACAUUCACUUGAGUAUUACAUGUAUUUUAAAAAGACUUCCCUCAAAUACGUAUCUACUAAACUAUUCAGGAUGCAAUGCGCGUAGUUUCACGGAUUCUCUGACUUUACUGUGAAUAGAAAAUCUUGCUCACAGAUAUACCGUUGUCAGAUUCGUUAUGGUGUGCGGAGAUGGCCGGAUAUGUGGUGGUGGAAAGGUGGACGAAAGGGAGACACGGUGGAAGACACGAAAGAAGGAGAGUGGGUUGGACAGAAAGAGGGAGGGAGCGCUUGUUCUACAUAACAAUACAUAAAAAGACAAUGAUUUUUAAAGUGUACUGAGAUCUAUUAUGAUUAAAACCUUGAGUAAUGUUAUCAAAACCUUCUAUACUUCAUCACGAAGGCCACGAAAACUACAUAAGGACGGACGCAGAGCCGAGAGGAGGGAGGGAGUGAGGGAGGGGCGGAGGGCGGUAGUGUAGUUAAGAUGAGGCGUUGGUGCUGUUGCUAAACUAUACGUACAUCCAUUGUACUUUUAAAACCAUAAACCAUACUAUUACAACACUAACUUUCAUCACAAACCAUCAAGACUUAAAAAAAAAUUACAUACAAGGUUAAAAUAAUGCAGGAAAUUAAUCAUGAGGUGGCACCUUCAUGGAGGGUGGCACACGUCAGGGAGGUGUAUCACUCCGCCAGCAGCAAACUUGACGUCAUGGGCCAGGGCAUGCAGCGGCGUGCAGUGCGUGGGUAUGGUGACUGUGUGGCCUCUGAUAUAGAGGUGUAUGAGCUGCUGGACGAGAGAAGAGCAAACUAAAAGUAAACAUGGGAUUGCUGCCGCCUCAGGACACUAGGAGCAUUGCGGAAGCGCUGAGGAAGACAUCACAACCCUUGACACAGCGAACACAACUCUGUACUGAGGCUGGCACUGGCUUCUCCCAACACCUCACGUGGUCAUUGCAACAAAAGGAGUUACCAUCCACCAACACCAGAACCACCACCACCACCACCACCACCACCACCUGAAGUCCUACCACAAACAGCAAUACACCACCACAUACAUCAUCACAACCAUUAACACCACCACCACGAGUGUCUAUCAAGUUACCAUCAUCACCAUCACAACCACCAAUAUCAACUUCAUCAUUAUUACAUUCCUUUCCCUCCUUUUAUCAUUUCAUCUACCUUCUAUUCGCUCUUUAUUUAUUUUUCUCUCCUUCACUCCUAGUAUACCACUUCAUAUUCCCUUCUUUAUCCUCUUUCUCCUCUUCCUCCUCCUCCUUAUCCUCUCUUCUCUCCUCUCCUCUCCUAACUUUUUCUAUUCUUCCUUUUUCAUCGACUUCCCUCCACUUCAUGUUCUCUAUCUCCUCUUCACGGCCGCAUUGUAUGGAAGGAAAAAGGAGCACGGAGGCGUAAAAUAAACCCUAAUGAAAGAACUUUACGCAGAUAACUUUGGAAUGAGAGGCAGAUGUGGGACGACAGACUCUCUCUCUCUCUCUCUCUCUCUCUCUGCUCAUCACAUGAAUGCUUUCUAUCAGAUUCAUAGAUAGAUAGAUAGAUAGAUAGAUAGAUAGGUAGAUACAUAAAUAGAUAGAUACCGACAACAAAUUAGAAUUCACACGAAACACAAGAAACACACAUUACAAAUUAACAAAGUCAAAUCAACACGAACGAAUAGUAAUAUGCAUACUAUUCACGGCCCAUUAAACACACACACACACACACACACACACACACACACACACACACACUGGCGUCUCAUUUACUGGACUUCAAGCACUGUUACCGCUGCUCUACCUCGCUACAUUCCGCGCCACCACCUAAUGAUUCGCCAGUGUCGCGUCCCUCACCACUACACCUGUCAUUAUCACACCUGCGGCGGCUCGGUAACAGCAGCAGCUUCAGGUUCCGGUUAGGCAAGUUGAUAUCGCGCGCCCUUCUGCGUCUGGCUAAGGGGAAGUGUGUGUGUGUGUGUGUGUGUGUGUGUGUGUGUGUGUGUGUGUGUGUGUGUGUGUGUGUGUGUGUGUGUGUGUGUGUGUGUGUGUGUGUUGAUAGUAAGUGUCCUUUGUUCUCUUCUGUUUCUCUUUCUUUAUCUCUGCUAUUUUUACCUAUGCUUGUUUCAUCAUCUCGUCUCUUCUCUUAUCUUCUUUCACGUAUCGUCAUUUCAGAUUUUUUUUCUCCUUUUCUCUGGUAUUUUCUUUUCUUAUUUCUCCUCUCUUCUCUUCUCAUUUCUCCUAUGCUGCUUUCAUCUCCAUUUCUUUUCCUAUAUCUUGUCUCCUCAUUUCUCUUCAAGUUUAAUUUUUAUCUUCUCUCUUUUUGUCCUUUCUUCUCUUCUCUCCCUCUUCUCAUUUUAUUUCACUUCGUUUCACUUCAGUCCUAACUCGCUUCUCUUCUCUCUUAGCCUCUCUUCUCCUCUCCUCUCCUCUCCUCUCCUCUCCUCUCCUCUCCUUUCCUCUCUUCCCCUCUUCUCUCCUGUCCUCUCCCCUCCCCUCUUAUCUCCCCAUCUAUACAAAUUUGUCCUCCUACGUACCUGUUGUCCCUCCAUUGCUGUUUUCUGUGUGUCUUUGUACAUUUAUCUUUGUAUUGUUUUUUUGUUUGUUGUAUUUCUUUCCCUUUUCGAAUAUAAAUGUUUGUAUGAUUGAUUUUGUUUUUUUUAGCAUAUUUGUUGUUGACUCGCCAUAUUUGCCUCGUGUGUGUGUGUGUGUGUGUGUGUGUGUGUGUGUGUGUGUGUGUGUGUGUGUGUGUGUGUGUGUGUGUGUGUGUAAAUAAAUUCUCGUAACAUACAACCAUACAACAUUUCACACAAGAGAAUCCGCU